CCCGCUGAACUUAAGCAUAUCAAUAAGCGGAGGAAAAGAAACUAACAAGGAUUCCCCUAGUAACGGCGAGUGAAGCGGGAAUAGCUCAAAUUUGAAAUCUCUCUUCGGAGCGAAUUGUAGUUUAGAGAAGCGUUUUCUGGGUUGACUGCAUGUACAAGUUCAUUGGAACAUGACAUCAUAGAGGGUGAAAAUCCCGUCUUUGACAUGCAGCGCAAUCUUUUAUGAUACGUUUUCCAAGAGUCGGUUUGUUUGGGAAUGCAGACCAAAAUGGGUGGUAAAUACCAUCUAAAGCUAAAUAUUGGCGAGAGACCGAUAGCGAACAAGUACCGUGAGGGAAAGAUGAAAAGAACUUUGAAAAGAGAGUUAAACAGUACGUGAAAUUGUCAAAAGGGAAACGUUUGAAAUCAGUAUUGCUUACAAGAGUUUAGCUAUGGUUUACUGUAGUGUCCUCUUUUGUGAGCGAGUCAAUAUCAGUUUGAUCUAGAGUAAAAAGCCAGAGAAAGGUAGCUCAUUUUGAGUGUUAUAGUCUUUGGUCAUGCUCCUGAUUAGACUGAGGACUGCAGCUUCGGCUUAGGAUAUUGACGAAAUGAUUUUAAGCGACCCGUCUUGAAACACGG
rnacentral:rRNA from 1 species